GGACGGGUAGCGCAGUGGUCAGCGCGUUCACUAAGCGUCAUCAGCGUUGAUUUUCCAGCGUUUAGCGAGAGGCCUGGGUUCAAAUUCCAGCCCGCCCA